rnacentral:rRNA from 1 species
UACGUAGGGUCCGAGCGUUGUCCGGAAUUAUUGGGCGUAAAGGGCUCGUAGGCGGUUUGUCGCGUCGGGGAGUGAAAAUCCACUGGCUUAACUGGUGGCUUGCUUUCGAUACGGGCAGACUGGAGGUAUGCAGGGGGAGAACGGAAUUCCUGGUGUAGCGGUGAAAAUGCGCAGAUAUCAGGAGGAACACCGGUGGCGAAGGCGGUUCUCUGGGCAUGUCCUGACGCUGAGGGAGCGAAAAGUGUGGGGGGAGCG